UUUUCUUUUCUUCUUUUUUCUUUUCCCGAAAUAAAUCGAUUGUAAUAACGAAACUUAAAGAAAUAUCUUUCGGGCUCAAUUUAAGUUUCUAUUUCUAAAUAUUUUCAAAACAAAUUCCCGAAGCGUUUUCUUUUGAUAUGUUUCAGGUAGGCCUCGACCUCAUCAUCGUUUUAUUAAGUACGCGUAUGUUAACAUAAAUGAUUACUUUUGUCUUUCUUUUAAGAGAAAGAAAAAAUACAUUUUUGUUUAUUCCAAGGAUCGUGUUUAUAUUGACGCGAAGAAUGGACGACAGAUAAUCGAAGAUGUAAACAAGUAUAUUGAUCGAUAUAUAUAUAUAUAUAUAUAUAUAUAUAUAUAUGUAUUUAUGCAUUUAUAUCAAUCUUACGAGUUGGAAGAGCUUCGGUACAUCGAUCAUUCCUGAAAAGACGAUUAACUCUGACUUCCCAC